rnacentral:rRNA from 1 species
UACGGGGGGUGCGAGCGUUGUCCGGAAUCACUGGGCGUAAAGGGCGCGUAGGUGGCGUGAUAAGGGUGUGGUGAAAGCCCGGGGCUCAACCCCGGGUCUGCCAUGCCGACUGUCAGGCUGGAGUACUGUAGGGGCAGGCGGAAUUCCGGGUGUAGCGGUGGAAUGCGUAGAGAUCCGGAGGAACACCGAUGGCGAAGGCAGGUCUCUGGGCUGACACUGACGCUCAUGCACGAAAGCGUGGGGAGCAAACAGG